rnacentral:rRNA from 1 species
GUACACUCCUGCGGGAGGCAGCAGUGGGGAAUUUUGGACAAUGGGCGAAAGCCUGAUCCAGCAAUGCCGCGUGAGUGAAGAAGGCCUUCGGGUUGUAAAGCUCUUUUGUCAGGGAAGAAACGGUGAAAGCUAAUAUCUUUUGCUAAUGACGGUACCUGAAGAAUAAGCACCGGCUAACUACGUGCCAGCAGCCGCGGUAAUACGUAGGGUGCAAGCGUUAAUCGGAAUUACUGGGCGUAAAGCGUGCGCAGGCGGUUUUGUAAGUCUGAUGUGAAAUCCCCGGGCUCAACCUGGGAAUUGCAUUGGAGACUGCAAGGCUAGAAUCUGGCAGAGGGGGGUAGAAUUCCACGUGUAGCAGUGAAAUGCGUAGAUAUGUGGAGGAACACCGAUGGCGAAGGCAGCCCCCUGGGUCAAGAUUGACGCUCAUGCACGAAAGCGUGUGGAGCAAACAGGAUUAGAAACCCUUGUUGUCCCA